CCCUUUCUGCCACUAUCCCCUGCCGCCUCAUUCCCCUACCCUACCGCUUCCUCGCCUACCCCUCCACCCCCGCCACCUCUAUCCCAGGCUGCGUCUGUCACCUGCCGCGUCCUCCCCUCACGACUCGAUCCCCUACCGCCUCUCACUCCUGCCGCGUCCUCCCCUCCCACCUGUACCCCCUGCAAACUCCUCGCCUGCCGCAUCUAUCCUCUAUUUGCACCAUACUAAUCACGCACACAUCGAGAGCGCCUCGUGCGCAGGUGACGCAACGCGUCACGUCUUCGGAAGACUCGGGCUUUGCACUUGUUGCACGCCGACACAACACGCCUAUGAAUGGGUAAAGCCUGCAAAUUUCGGAAGACACUAUGUUGGGACUUCUGAGCUGGUCAUAAAGGUGGCACGAGGAGUUGCUCGCAACUCCGGCCUCUGCCAUUGGCGUUUGCUUUCAACAGCUUCGCUGUAACAAAAACAGCAAUGCUUACAUAUGGCUGCGUCCGUUAAGUCAGGUAUGAUUUGCAAUGUAUGUGUAGCUGAUCUUUGUUGGUGGAUUACAAGCGUCGGUGAGCUUGCGCGCUUCGGUUGUCCACGGAUGCUCACAAGCCGCCUCGAUCUCGCAAAGCAGCAGAGAAGACCCUUGGUAAUCUUAAAUAGGCCGUUUAGCAAGUUAGCCGAGUUCGUGGAAUCUGGUCCUAUGAUUGCCGGUAAAGUAUUCGGUAUGCACAAGGCCUUAGCGGACAAAAUCGUGUUUUUCGUUUGCGAUCUUCACGAGCCAAUUCAUUGACGCUGCUGCUAUGGGCGCCAUUGUUGUCGUACAUUUGGGGAUUUCCAUCCUCAAAUGUACGACAACUUCAAGCAAAAUGCACUCCGCACAUGCGCAAAAUAGUUCUUGAAAAUUGCAUAGGUGAAGGCAUCUGUAGUUGUGACUUUCGAUGCUGUCAUGUUAAAAUAGUUAUGCGGCGGUUGGGAACUUGCAAAUUCCGCUGCUAAGCAAACGUUUUAGUGUCAAAGGAGUUCAUCACUAUGCCCCGCCUUCUAAAUUCCCGGCCGCCACUAUGCCCGGCCGCCUCAGUCCCCGACCGCCUCUAUUCCCUGCAGCUGACGCCCCUGCCACCUCUAUCCCCUGCCGCUUCAAUGCCCUGCCG
rnacentral:lncRNA from 1 species